rnacentral:rRNA from 1 species
GGGAGCUUGCUCCUGGAUUCAGCGGCGGACGGGUGAGUAAUGCCUAGGAAUCUGCCUGGUAGUGGGGGAUAACGUCCGGAAACGGGCGCUAAUACCGCAUACGUCCUGAGGGAGAAAGUGGGGGAUCUUCGGACCUCACGCUAUCAGAUGAGCCUAGGUCGGAUUAGCUAGUUGGUGGGGUAAAGGCCUACCAAGGCGACGAUCCGUAACUGGUCUGAGAGGAUGAUCAGUCACACUGGAACUGAGACACGGUCCAGACUCCUACGGGAGGCAGCAGUGGGGAAUAUUGGACAAUGGGCGAAAGCCUGAUCCAGCCAUGCCGCGUGUGUGAAGAAGGUCUUCGGAUUGUAAAGCACUUUAAGUUGGGAGGAAGGGCAGUAAGUUAAUACCUUGCUGUUUUGACGUUACCAACAGAAUAAGCACCGGCUAACUUCGUGCCAGCAGCCGCGGUAAUACGAAGGGUGCAAGCGUUAAUCGGAAUUACUGGGCGUAAAGCGCGCGUAGGUGGUUCAGCAAGUUGGAUGUGAAAUCCCCGGGCUCAACCUGGGAACUGCAUCCAAAACUACUGAGCUAGAGUACGGUAGAGGUUGGUGGAAUUUCCUGUGUAGCGGUGAAAUGCGUAGAUAUAGGAAGGAACACCAGUGGCGAAGGCGACCACCUGGACUGAUACUGA